AUUGUUUAAUGGAUCUAUGCUCAUUCAUCAGCUCGUCCAAUUUCUUACAAAGGAAGAAUCGACAAUAUCUUAUGAGAUGAACAAGUGGACGUGAUAUCACAAGGAUUUCUGCUGCUUUCCGUUUUCUACUGUUGGUUGGGAUUGUUGAUGCGUGUACUUAUAAGAACAAGAGAGCUCAGGAUUGUAUUUCCAUGAAAGCAAGAGGCGAGCCAGGAAUCAGCUGCCACACAACUCGGCGAGAUUUUGUCUCCUAAGUUUUCGACUUGGAAUCGCCUGCUCGAAUGAUCGCUGCAAAUUUCCGAUUCCAGGGACGCGCCCAUUCAAUGAUUGCUUUCAGUUUUUCCAUUGCCGCACUUUUCAGAUUAGGCUUGUGGAUUUGAUAUACUGACGAUCUUAUUGGUGUGGGUUUCCCAGAACUGAACUGAAAAAGCUUUUUGCAACUUCAAUUUUAAUGAAUAUGGGAAUAUCAGAUGUCACACUGCAAGGGCUCUUUGGGCCUCUAUCGGGUUCCUCUUAUUGUGUAUUGGCCAGCACACAGUUGACUACACCCUUGAAACAAUUGAAGUCCAAGCGGAGAAAGUGCUCAUUUUACAUGAAAUUGCAGUCUUAUUCCGGGAUUGACCCCAACUUGUUGCUAAUAAAUGGGGCACAAGUAAAAUCAUUCCAGGGAAAGGCAGACAGGAACAGGUCACAGUUUUUGAAAUGCCAGUGUCAGCGUACUGAUGGUAUCCCUGGAAUUUCUAGUGAGGAUGGUAAUGGUGCCUGGCUGAAAGGGCAUUCUGGUGCAAAAAGGCAAUUUGAGGCUACUGCUCAGAAGGUUUUUGAUAUUGAGGAGAUUAAACAAGUGAGACAUGAUAAUGAAGAAAUCAUCUUAAAUGAUGAUAAAUCUGCAUCUACUGGAGCAGUUAAAUUUGCACCACCGAAAAGGAAAGGGUCAUCCAUUGAGGAUGAAGCCUUGCAUCUUCUACAAGAAUCUGUUGUGCAUUACUGUGGGACUCCUGUUGGAACUAUUGCAGCAAAGGUCCUUACUGAUGUCAGUGCUCUAAAUUAUGAUCAGGUCUUCAUACGUGACUUCGUUCCUUCGGGCAUUGCAUUUCUGUUGAAGGGAGAGUAUGACAUUGUUCGCAACUUCAUCCUCCACACACUUCAAUUACAAAGCUGGGAGAAAACUAUAGACUGCCAUAGUCCAGGCCAAGGACUAAUGCCAGCUAGCUUCAAAGUUCGGACAGUUCCACUGGAUGGUGAUGAUUCAGCAACUGAGGAGGUGCUGGAUCCAGACUUUGGAGAGGCUGCAAUAGGUCGUGUUGCUCCAGUUGAUUCAGGAUUAUGGUGGAUUAUAUUGCUAAGAGCAUAUGGAAAAUGUUCUGGGGAUCUUUCGGUUCAAGAGAGAAUUGAUGUUCAGACAGGAAUUAAGAUGAUUCUAAAACUUUGUCUUUCUGAUGGCUUUGACAUGUUUCCUACAUUACUGGUGACAGAUGGUUCAUGCAUGAUAGACAGACGCAUGGGAAUUCAUGGCCAUCCCCUUGAAAUUCAGGCACUUUUUUAUUCAGCACUCUUAUGUGCCCGUGAGAUGCUUGCUCCUGAAGAUGGAUCAGCAGAUCUGCUCCGAGCAUUGAAUAACCGGCUGAUAGCAUUAUCUUUCCAUAUCAGGGAAUACUAUUGGGUAGAUAUGAAAAAAUUAAACGAGAUCUACCGUUAUAAGACGGAGGAAUAUUCUUAUGAUGCAGUUAACAAGUUCAACAUUUAUCCUGACCAGAUCCCUCCUUGGCUGGUGGAAUGGAUGCCCGAUAUAGGGGGUUACUUGAUUGGAAAUUUGCAACCUGCUCACAUGGAUUUCCGUUUCUUUUCAUUAGGAAAUUUGUGGUCCAUUGUAAGCAGUUUAGCGACGACACAACAAUCACAUGCCAUUUUGGAUCUCAUAGAGGCCAAGUGGUCUGACUUAGUGGCAGAUAUGCCUUUAAAGAUAUGUUAUCCAGCUCUUGAUGGGCAGGAAUGGAGAAUCAUCACAGGCAGUGAUCCUAAGAACACGCCAUGGUCUUAUCACAAUGGUGGGUCUUGGCCAACCUUGUUAUGGCAGCUCACUAUAGCAUGCAUAAAGAUGAAUAGGCUGGAACUCGCUGCAAGAGCUGUGGAGGUUGCUGAGAGGCGUCUUUCCAUAGAUAAGUGGCCUGAAUAUUAUGAUACAAAGAGCGGUCGAUUCAUCGGAAAGCAAUCUCGUCUGUACCAAACCUGGUCCAUUGCUGGUUUUCUCGUUGCAAAGCAGUUACUGGCUAAGCCAGAUGCUGCUAAGAUCCUAUGGAAUGAAGAGGAUGCAGAAAUAAUCAGCGCCUUCAAUUUCAUGACCGAUUCCGGCAGUCCUAGGAGAAAAAGAGGGAGGAAGCCAUUAAAGAAAACCUAUAUAGUUUAAUCAAAUGACAUGCAUAUAUUAACACGAGAUGAAUGGUGCAGCGGCCAACAGUUUUCUUACAUCAGUCUAUUAAAUGUGGAUGGCUUCGUUCGUUUGUUUGUGAUAUUCUGUACCUAUAAUUCCAUAUUAACUUGUUUUUCCAGCUCCGUUUGUUUACAGGUAUGAAUUUUAGCUGUUAAUUUAUUUCCAUAUAUCAUUCAGAAGUGGGAAAUUUGUGGAAGACCUUCUCGUACGAUGACGAUGAUAGUUUGGACCUGCAAUCAUCUCUGGUACAGGAUGGUGUAAAGGACAAAUGGAAGAUGCGACACAAGCCCAGGAAAAUGUGGACUUAUUCAUUAAAACCCACUUGGAUUCGUUUCUCAUGUCUGCAAUUGGUAUUACAUUGGAAUUGAAUCAAAUUUAGAUAAAUUUUAUUGAUUGUCA